rnacentral:rRNA from 1 species
UGAGGAAUAUUGGACAAUGGGCGCGAGCCUGAUCCAGCCAUGCCGCGUGCAGGAAGAAGCAUCUAUGGUGUGUAGACUGCUUUUGUACGGGAAGAAACACUCCUACGUGUAGGAGCUUGACGGUACCGUAAGAAUAAGGAUCGGCUAACCCCGUGCCAGCAGCCGCGGUAAUACGGAGGAUCCAAGCUUUAUCCGGCAUCAUUGGGUUUAAAGGAUCCGUAGGCGGUUUAGUAAGUCAGUGGUGAAAGCCCAUCGCUCAACGAUGGAACGGCCAUUGAUACUGCUAGACUUGAAUUAUUAGGAAGUAACUAGAAUAUGUGGUGUAGCGGUGAAAUGCUUAGAUAUUACAUGGAAUACCAAUUGCGAAGGCAGGUUACUACUAAUGGAUUGACGCUGAUGGACGAAAGCGUGGGGAGCGAACA